rnacentral:rRNA from 1 species
GACGAACGCUGGCGGCGUGCUUAACACAUGCAAGUCGAACGGAAAGGCCCUGCUUUUGUGGGGUGCUCGAGUGGCGAACGGGUGAGUAACACGUGAGUAACCUGCCCUUGACUUUGGGAUAACUUCAGGAAACUGGGGCUAAUACCGGAUAGGAGCUCCUGCUGCAUGGUGGGGGUUGGAAAGUUUCGGCGGUUGGGGAUGGACUCGCGGCUUAUCAGCUUGUUGGUGGGGUAGUGGCUUACCAAGGCUUUGACGGGUAGCCGGCCUGAGAGGGUGACCGGCCACAUUGGGACUGAGAUACGGCCCAGACUCCUACGGGAGGCAGCAGUGGGGAAUAUUGCACAAUGGGCGGAAGCCUGAUGCAGCAACGCCGCGUGCGGGAUGACGGCCUUCGGGUUGUAAACCGCUUUCGCCUGUGACGAAGCGUGAGUGACGGUAAUGGGUAAAGAAGCACCGGCUAACUACGUGCCAGUAGCCGCGGUGAUACGUAGGGUGCGAGCGUUGUCCGGAUUUAUUGGGCGUAAAGGGCUCGUAGGUGGUUGAUCGCGUCGGAAGUGUAAUCUUGGGGCUUAACCCUGAGCGUGCUUUCGAUACGGGUUGACUUGAGGAAGGUAGGGGAGAAUGGAAUUCCUGGUGGAGCGGUGGAAUGCGCAGAUAUCAGGAGGAACACCAGUGGCGAAGGCGGUUCUCUGGGCCUUUCCUGACGCUGAGGAGCGAAAGCGUGGGGAGCGAACAGGCUUAGAUACCCUGGUAGUCCACGCUGUAAACGGUGGGUACUAGGUGUGGGGUCCAUUCCACGGGUUCCGUGCCGUAGCUAACGCUUUAAGUACCCCGCCUGGGGAGUACGGCCGCAAGGCUAAAACUCAAAGGAAUUGACGGGGCCCCGCACAAGCGGCGGAGCAUGCGGAUUAAUUCGAUGCAACGCGUAGAACCUUACCUGGGUUUGACAUGGAUCGGGAGUGCUCAGAGAUGGGUGUGCCUCUUUUGGGGUCGGUUCACAGGUGGUGCAUGGCUGUCGUCAGCUCGUGUCGUGAGAUGUUGGGUUAAGUCCCGCAACGAGCGCAACCCUUGUUCACUGUUGCCAGCACGUUAUGGUGGGGACUCAGUGGAGACCGCCGGGGUCAACUCGGAGGAAGGUGGGAAUGACGUCAAGUCAUCAUGCCCCUUAUGUCCAGGGCUUCACGCAUGCUACAAUGGCUGGUACAGAGAGUGGCGAGCCUGUGAGGGUGAGCGAAUCUCGGAAAGCCGGUCUCAGUUCGGAUUGGGGUCUGCAACUCGACCUCAUGAAGUCGGAGUCGCUAGUAAUCGCAGAUCAGCAACGCUGCGGUGAAUACGUUCCCGGG